rnacentral:lncRNA from 1 species
CAAGCUCCAGAGCAGUUGCAGCGCGGGGCCUGAUUGCGGCUUUUUUCCUGUUGGGACUGGCCAUGGCGAGUUUCCUCUUCCAUUCCAGCUUGAAAGAGACGUCGACGAUGGUUCCUUUGGUCGGAACGAUUUUCCAGGUCGGAACAAGGUAGGCGGCGAUGCUAAGUAAGUGUUCUAGAGGCCACUGAGGUUUGAUCUUUUCACUGAUUCCGCACAUUGCGCCGUUCAGGACGAUCCCGUUCCAUGUGUUGAUGUUGAUACCACCCGGAUCCUCCAGAUAGAGACUAUGAUCCGUUAGAUGAAUUAGAAGGGCGAUCGCUCCUCCUAGUGACUCCGAGUAGAGAAACCGGGGGACGGAAGAGGGAUAUUUGGACAGA